rnacentral:rRNA from 1 species
GAUGAACGCUGGCGGCGUGCCUAAUACAUGCAAGUCGAGCGGUAACACUUCGGGUGACGAGCGGCGGACGGCUGAGUAACGCGUGGGAAUGUACCCCAACGUGAGGGAUAACUGCUCGAGAGAGUAGCUCAUACCGCAUGUGGGCUACGGAUUAAAGCUUCGGCGCUUUGGGAACAGCCUGCGUAAGAUUAGCUUGUUGGUGAGGUAACGGCUCACCAAGGCGACGAUCUUUAGCUGGUCUGAGAGGAUGAUCAGCCAGACUGGGACUGAGAACGGCCCAGACUCCUACGGGAGGCAGCAGUAGGGAAUUUUCCACAAUGGACGAAAGUCUGAUGGAGCAACGCCGCGUGCAGGAUGAAUGCCUUCGGGUUGUAAACUGCUUUUAUAUGUGACGAUUAUGACGGUAGCAUAUGAAUAAGGAUCGGCUAAUUCCGUGCCAGCCGCCGCAGUAA